GCGCGCAAUGGUAAGGUUGUUCUAUUAUGACGUGGAGGUUAUCGAUUUGAAACAUAAAGAGUAAGCUUCUUACAUCUAACUCUUCUCAAAUCUCAUAAUGGCGAGAACCUCGUUGCAUUAAGCUGCAUAUUACCUUUAUGAUAUGCUGUUAAAACCAUCAAGGCAGCAAGGAUGCUCGCGUUUUUGUGUUGAAAGCGUCUGCAAGCUCAUGGUUAAACAACCUUGUUGCUCGUAAUAAUUGAACCUUCUUAGCCCCACAUAAUGCAUAAACUUCUCAAGUUUACGAAAACUACUUGUAGCAAAAAUUCUAACCCCAAAUAUUUUAUUUCAAAAUGAGACAACAGCUGCUCUUGGGAUACUCAAUCGUGCCGUAAUUGAAGAAUUGGAGUUUAAAUUGAGGUGAUCGGGUCUCGAUAAGAACGCUGCUCAGAAUUCUUUCCAGACU
rnacentral:lncRNA from 1 species